rnacentral:rRNA from 1 species
AGAGUUUGAUCCUGGCUCAGAAUGAACGCUGGCGGCGUGCUUAACACAUGCAAGUCGAGCGAGGCCUGGGGGGCAACUCCCAGAGUCGAGCGGCGGACGGGUGAGUAACACGUGGGUAACCUGCCCGGAAGUGUGGAAUACCUCGGGGAAACUCGAGCUAAUACCGCAUGACAUCUUCGGGACGAAAGUCCUGACGAUCAAAGCGGGGUCGCAAGAUCUCGCGCUACCGGAUGGGCCCGCGCCCGAUUAGCUAGUUGGUGAGGUAACGGCUCACCAAGGCAACGAUCGGUAGCUGGUCUGAGAGGAUGAUCAGCCACACUGGGACUGAGACACGGCCCAGACUCCUACGGGAGGCAGCAGUGGGGAAUUUUGGACAAUGGGGGCAACCCUGAUCCAGCCAUGCCGCGUGAGUGAAGAAGGCCUUCGGGUUGUAAAGCUCUUUUGGCCGGAAAGAAAAGGCGUCGGAUAACACCCGGCGUUCUUGACGGUACCGGCAGAAUAAGCACCGGCUAACUACGUGCCAGCAGCCGCGGUAAUACGUAGGGUGCGAGCGUUAAUCGGAAUUACUGGGCGUAAAGCGUGCGUA